rnacentral:tRNA from 1 species
UCCUGGUUAGCUCAAUUGGUAGAGCGCUCCAUUGGAAAUGGAAAGUCCCGGGUUCGAUACCCGAACCUGGCG